AGUUACCAUGGACACCGGUAGGCACAGCAGUUGUAAGCCAAGGCCAAGAGACCAUGGCCACUUUAGCCUGGCUGCAAGCUAGGUCGUUGACUGUAGGAAAUGAGUACUACUUUAGGAACAGUAUUGUAGAUUCAUUUAGAAAUAAGGAGAAUGACGCAGCAGUUAAAAUCCAGAGCUGGUUUCGAUGAUGUCAAGUUCGGGCAUGUAUCAGGCGUUUACACAGGACUGUAACAAUUAUUCAAAAAUGGUGGAGAAGUGUCUUAGGCAGAAAACAGUGUCAACUAACUGUGCAGGUAGCACAUUAUACUAUGAUGAUGAAUCUCUACAAUGCAAUGGCUGUCAGGAAAACUGAAUUUAACAAUUAUGGAGCUUGAACUUGGUUUCUGCAUUCAUCUUGAGAAUGGACACAGCAAAAAUAUGAUUUCCUUUGUUUCAGACAAUAGGAUAAUAAUGUAAUUGCUAAGCUAUUAUAAAUGGAGAAAUUUCUUAAGUGAAUUUUAUUAGUGUCCUUAAAAUCUAUGUUGCUUUAUAUUCUCUUUCAUUAAUCUGUUAGUUCUUCUGCAAAUGAUGGAUUUUAUUUUGAGUGAGUCAAGGUAGUAAAAUCCUUUCUGAAAGUGCUGGGGUAAACCAUAGUGGGUAAAUUAACAUUGUAUUGACUAUGUAUUUUGCUUUGGAAAGAGGCUAACCUAGAUACCAGUAGCCGAAGUUUUAUUUCUAAUAAAUGCAAUUCUGCUUUAUUAGUUCAUAACCUACCUGGUAACUUACUUCAAAAUAACGACCCUAGAAGAGAUGUAAACAUGAUUGGUGAGUGUUCAGAAAAAAAAUCUCUAAGGGUAUCUGUAUGGCCAAUAAUAUCCUGGCAGAUAUGUAUGUACCCAAAUUAUGACUAAGAUCUUCAUGUACAAUAUAUAAGAACAAAACUUUUGUCUUAAUUUUCCUUGUGAACAAAGCCUAUUAUAAGUUGUAUAUUUGGGUAUUGACAGUUACCCUGACAACCAAAAUGUAUUCAAUUGUCAAAGAGCCUAGUGGAGCAUUUCUGAAAUGACAGGAGUUUUACAAAUGUAUUUAUAGCCUGUCCAUCCCUAAAUAGAUAUCACUCUUUUGUAAUGAAGAACAAAUUAUAUGUAUGUGAUUUUCUUUUGUGUAAUAGAUAUUAAUGUCCUGAUUUGCUGCAUUUAUUUUUUAAAAGGUCACCUUCUCUCUAAAGACUUUAUGAGUCCCCUACCCCUGUAGAAUUCAUCACUCCUUUUUUAUGUUCCUAUUUUAUCAUCGACGAACUUCUGUUAUAGAACCUGUAAUGUUUACAUGCCUGUCUCCACCCCACCGCCCCUGCCUCCCUACACACUGUAAGUCUCUUGAGGCCCAGAUACUAUCUUCUUCAUCUUUGUAUCUUCAAUGCUUGGCUUGUGGUAGGUGGUUAAAUAAAUAUCCUUGAAUAAAUCAA